UAUAUGUAUAUGUCAAAAGUUUUCAACAGCGAUAUUAUCUGUUUCCGAAGAACAAUUGGUGUCGCUUUUUAUUCGUUUGCUAGCACUCAACAUCAUUAUUGCAGAGGAUUUGAAAACAUAAAAAACAUCUCUUCAAAAUGAACAACCGCAUGUUGUGUGUCCUGCGAUGCCGUUUUAAGUCAGGCUUUUAUUCGUGAUAAUGAACGGAAACAUUUGUAUCGAUGUACAGUGCCCAAUACAUGCAAUCGAUACAAUUCAAAUCCUUCGCAGUGUUUGGUGACGGAUGAUGACGGAUUUUCUGGUGUGCGUACUGUACAAAAACAUGAGCCACAGUUCACGGGCAACUGUGAAUCGGUUGGUCGCCGCAUUAUAUAAAGACACGUGAAUGAUUUAAAACUUUUAUAAUGUUUCGAUGAAAAAUAAAUCUGUUUUGAUUGUUCUGAA